rnacentral:rRNA from 1 species
GACGAACGCUGGCGGCGUGCUUAACACAUGCAAGUCGAGCGAUGAAGCUCCUUCGGGAGUGGAUUAGCGGCGGACGGGUGAGUAACACGUGGGCAACCUGCCUUAUAGAGAGGAAUAGCCAUCCGAAAGGAUGAUUAAUACCUCAUAAUAUUGUAGCUUCGCAUGGAGCAACAAUCAAAGGAGCAAUCCACUAUAAGAUGGGCCCGCGGCGCAUUAGCUAGUUGGUGAGGUAACGGCUCACCAAGGCGACGAUGCGUAGCCGACCUGAGAGGGUGAUCGGCCACAUUGGGACUGAGACACGGCCCAGACUCCUACGGGAGGCAGCAGUGGGGAAUAUUGCACAAUGGGGGAAACCCUGAUGCAGCAACGCCGCGUGAGUGAUGACGGCCUUCGGGUUGUAAAGCUCUGUCUUCAGGGACGAUAAUGACGGUACCUGAGGAGGAAGCCACGGCUAACUACGUGCCAGCCGCCGCCGUAA